rnacentral:rRNA from 1 species
AUUGAACGCUGGCGGCAGGCUUAACACAUGCAAGUCGAGCGGAGAUGAGGUGCUUGCACCUUAUCUUAGCGGCGGACGGGUGAGUAACGCUUAGGAAUCUGCCUAUUAGUGGGGGACAACAUUUCGAAAGGAAUGCUAAUACCGCAUACGUCCUACGGGAGAAAGCAGGGGAUCUUCGGACCUUGCGCUAAUAGCUGAGCCUAAGUCGGAUUAGCUAGUUGGUGGGGUAAAGGCCUACCAAGGCGACGAUCGGUAGCGGGUCUGGGAGGAUGAGCGGCAAAACGGGAACUGGGAAACGGCCCAGGCCCCUACGGGAGGAAGAGGGGGGGAAUAUUGGACAAUGGGGGGAACCCUGCUCCAGCCAUGCGGGGUGUGUGAAGAAGGCCUUAGGGUUGUAAAGCACUUUAAGCGAGGAGGAGGCUACUGAGACUAAUACUCUUGGAUAGUGGACGUUACCCGCAGAAUAAGCACCGCCUAACUCUGUGCCAGCCGCCGCAGUAACAC